rnacentral:tRNA from 1 species
GGUGGGUUGGCUCAGUGGUUAGAGCGUAGGUCUCAUAACCGAAAGGUUGCGGGAUCGAAUCCCGCUAGAGGCUG